UAAAGUUUAAACAUUUAAAAAAAUAAAUCAAGUCCUGAUUUGUAGCUUUGCCAGUAAGUGCUCUUUCUGAAAAUUCUGUAGGAAUUGGCUCUCUAGGAGCCUAUUGGAACUCACUGUAGUAAACCUUUGGGUAUGAGCGACCUGGCAGCCCAUCUUCUCUGUAUUGACAAAUGACACCUCCAAAUUCGUGCAUCACACUGAUAAUCUGAGCUGGUCAGUUUUUAAGAUUUAAGCUGAAUUACUAAGAGUUGCUCCACAAACUUUUGGACUUUGUGCUUAAUUUCUGAGCUGAACUAAGAACUCUUUACUCACAUGUUCCGAUACAAACUUUUUGGUUCUCAGGUACUACUUCACUUUCAGCAGGUGGAAAGUGUUGCCUUUGAUAAUCUAAUUUUUGUUAGUUAUUGGAAUUUAGUUUUUUGCUUUUAACUUAAGUGCCAAAGGCCUUGGAUUAUUUUAGGCAGCUGACAUAAAACUAACAAUUCCUCUUUGCUAGGUUUAAAAUAUUGGAAGAGAAGAAAAUCUGUAAAAUUUUACUUCUUUGAUGAAUAUUUCAGUAUUUUAGAGAAAGUGGACCCAUGAGCAAUGGGGAAACCAAAGAACAAUCACUGUAUGUUUUAAUGUUCUAAAAAAAAAAGCCAUUUACUGGAGAGGAUUUCCCCUCCCUCUCACUUCCCUUUUAUUCUCCUGUUUCAGCCAAAGCUCAUGAAGAGAAAUGUUGCCUCCACACUGGGCUGCUCUGCAAAUGUACAUACAAGCUGUGUUUCUCUCACCACAUGUGAUACAUUAUGCUGGAAUGGCUCCCAUGAGUAAGCUGUUCCCAUCAUCUCCUUUGCAACAGUUUAAAGGGUGUAGUGGAAGAUCAAAAUGAGCACAUUUGUAGAUCACAUGCUGAAGUUUUCUUGGAUUUGGUCCUUCCCGGUCCUAGGGCAUGGAGGACAAAGGUGCCAUUGGAGGAUUGAGUGUGGAGAGAGGGAAACCACAUGGGAAAGCGAGUGAAGGCACAGCUAAUUCUGGCAUUAGACUCAUUCUCCCCAAACCUCCCAUGGAAAGCCAUCAGAAGUUUGGUGUUCUGCCUGAAGUCAGUGAAGCUGGGGAAUUGUGAAUUGGAAGAUGAGCAAUGAGAACCUGGUGACAUAGUUCUCCACAUGGAAUAAAGAACCUCAUCAACUUUUGUGAUCA
rnacentral:lncRNA from 1 species